rnacentral:rRNA from 1 species
GUCUACAGCUAUACUACCCUGAACAAGCCUGAUCUCGUCUGAUCUCGGAAGCUAAGUAGGGUCAGACCUGGUUAGUACCUGGAUGGGAGACCACCUAGGAAGACCAGGUGCUGUAGGCA